rnacentral:rRNA from 1 species
ACGCCGCGUGAGUGAUGAAGGUUUUCGGAUCGUAAAGCUCUGUUGUUAGGGAAGAACAAGUGCCGUUCAAAUAGGGCGGCACCUUGACGGUACCUAACCAGAAAGCCACGGCUAACUACGUGCCAGCAGCCGCGGUAAUACGUAGGUGGCAAGCGUUGUCCGGAAUUAUUGGGCGUAAAGGGCUCGCAGGCGGUUUCUUAAGUCUGAUGUGAAAGCCCCCGGCUCAACCGGGGAGGGUCAUUGGAAACUGGGGAACUUGAGUGCAGAAGAGGAGAGUGGAAUUCCACGUGUAGCGGUGAAAUGCGUAGAGAUGUGGAGGAACACCAGUGGCGAAGGCGACUCUCUGGUCUGUAACUGACGCUGAGGAGCGAAAGCGUGGGGAGCGAACAGGAUUAGAUACCCUGGUAGUCCACGCCGUAAACGAUGAGUGCUAAGUGUUAGGGGGUUUCCGCCCCUUAGUGCUGCAGCUAACGCAUUAAGCACUCCGCCUGGGGAGUACGGUCGCAAGACUGAAACUCAAAGGAAUUGACGGGGGCCCGCACAAGCGGUGGAGCAUGUGGUUUAAUUCGAAGCAACGCGAAGAACCUUACCAGGUCUUGACAUCCUCUGACAAUCCUAGAGAUAGGACGUCCCCUUCGGGGGCAGAGUGACAGGUGGUGCAUGGUUGUCGUCAGCUCGUGUCGUGAGAUGUUGGGUUAAGUCCCGCAACGAGCGCAACCCUUGAUCUUAGUUGCCAGCAUUCAGUUGGGCACUCUAAGGUGACUGCCGGUGACAAACCGGAGGA